rnacentral:rRNA from 1 species
UCCUACGGGAGGCAGCAGUGGGGAAUAUUGCACAAUGGGGGAAACCCUGAUGCAGCAACGCCGCGUGGAGGAUGACGCAUUUCGGUGUGUAAACUCCUUUUAUAAGGGAAGAUAAUGACGGUACCUUAUGAAUAAGCACCGGCUAACUCCGUGCCAGCAGCCGCGGUAAU